GGCUGGGUAGCUCAGUGGAUUGAGAGCCAAGCCUAAAAGUGGGAGGUCCUAGGUUCGAAUCCAGCCUCAGCCA
rnacentral:tRNA from 1 species